rnacentral:rRNA from 1 species
UACCAGCUCUCCGAGUGGUGUGGAUGUUUAUUGGGCCUAAAGCAUCCGUAGCUGGCUGGACAAGUCCCCUGUUAAAUCCAUCGAUUUAAUCGUUGGUGUGCGGGGGAUACUGUUCGGCUAGGGGACGGGAGAGGCAGACGGUAUUUUCGGGGUAGGGGUGAAAUCCUAUAAUCCCGGGAAGACCACCAGUGGCGAAGGCUGUCUGCUAGAACGCGCCCGACGGUGAGGGAUGAAAGCUGGGGGAGCGAAUCGGAUUAGAUACCCGGGUAGUCCCAGCUGUAAACGAUGCAGGCUAGGUGUUUGGACGGCCACGUGCCGUUCUAGUGCCGCAGGGAAGCCGUUAAGCCUGCCGCCUGGGGAGUACGGCCGCAAGGCUGAAACUUAAAGGGAAUUGGCGGGGGAGCACCACAAGGGGUGAAGCUUGCGGUUU